UACGAAGGGGGCUAGCGUUGCUCGGAAUCACUGGGCGUAAAGCGCACGUAGGCGGAUUGCUAAGUCAGGGGUGAAAUCCUGGAGCUCAACCCCGGAACUGCCUUUGAUACUGGUAGUCUCGAGUCCGGAAGAGGUGAGUGGAAUUCCGAGUGUAGAGGUGAAAUUCGUAGAUAUUCGGAGGAACGCCAGUGGCGAAGGCGGCUCACUGGUCCGGUACUGACGCUGAUGUGCGAAAGCCAGGGGAGCGAACGGG
rnacentral:rRNA from 1 species